AGUGAACGCUGGCGGUAGGCCUAACACAUGCAAGUCGAACGGCAGCACAGUAAGAGCUUGCUCUUACGGGUGGCGAGUGGCGGACGGGUGAGGAAUACAUCGGAAUCUACUUUUUCGUGGGGGAUAACGUAGGGAAACUUACGCUAAUACCGCAUAUGACCUACGGGUGAAAGCAGGGGAUCUUCGGACCUUGCGCGAUUGAAUGAGCCGACGUCGGAUUAGCUAGUUGGCGGGGUAAAGGCCCACCAAGGCGACGAUCCGUAGCUGGUCUGAGAGGAUGAUCGGCCACACUGGAACUGAGACACGGUCCAGACUCCUACGGGAGGCAGCAGUGGGGAAUAUUGGGCAAUGGGCGCAAGCCUGAUCCAGCCAUACCGCGUGAGUGAAGAAGGCCUUCGGGUUGUAAAGCCCUUUUGUUGGGAAAGAAAAGCAGCAGGUUAAUACCCCGCUGUUCUGACGGUACCCAAAGAAUAAGCACCGGCUAACUUCGUG
rnacentral:rRNA from 1 species